GCUCAUUAGGCGGGUUGAUCAGCCGAGGCCUUAGCAAGGCCUCUUUUGAGAGAAGCUUUAGGCGACUGUUUGGCGCAGACAAUCAGCC
rnacentral:tRNA from 1 species